rnacentral:misc_RNA from 1 species
CUGUCCCUAUCCACUUGCAAUUUGACAUGUCAAAUGCAGGCACCUCCCAUUUAUACUCCCACUUUUUGUUUGAUAGAUUCUCAAUCUCUCCCUCUGAUAUCUUUUGGCCCAAGUGAUCGUGAAAAGAACUUGUAGGCAUUGAUGCCUUAACAUCAGUUUCGAUAUUGACACCCAAGUUGUUCUCUUGAUCUGCAUCAGAAGCCUCAUGAUCAUCUUCUGAUUCAGCAUCUUCACUCCUGUCCACGAUGCUAAU